rnacentral:tRNA from 1 species
GCCCGGGUGGUGGAAUCGGUAGACACUGCGGACUUAAAAUCCGUUGCCGUUAUAGGCGUGAGGGUUCGAGUCCCUCCUCGGGUA